AUUGAACGCUGGCGGAAUGCUUUACACAUGCAAGUCGAGCGGCAGCGCGGGGCAACCUGGCGGCGAGCGGCGAACGGGUGAGUAAUACAUCGGAACGUGCCCAGACGUGGGGGAUAACUACUCGAAAGAGUAGCUAAUACCGCAUAUGAUCUAAGGAUGAAAGCGGGGGAUCGCAAGACCGCGCGCGUUUGGAGCGGCCGAUGGCAGAUUAGGUAGUUGGUGGGGUAAAGGCUUACCAAGCCUGCGAUCUGUAGCUGGUCUGAGAGGACGACCAGCCACACUGGGACUGAGACACGGCCCAGACUCCUACGGGAGGCAGCAGUGGGGAAUUUUGGACAAUGGGCGAAAGCCUGAUCCAGCCAUUCCGCGUGCAGGAUGAAGGCCCUCGGGUUGUAAACUGCUUUUGUACAGAACGAAAAAGCUCUGGUUAAUACCUGGAGUCCAUGACGGUACUGUAAGAAUAAGCACCGGCUAACUACGUGCCAGCCGCCGCCGUAA
rnacentral:rRNA from 1 species